rnacentral:rRNA from 1 species
GUGGGGAAUAUUGGACAAUGGGCGAAAGCCUGAUCCAGCCAUGCCGCGUGUGUGAAGAAGGUCUUCGGAUUGUAAAGCACUUUAAGUUGGGAGGAAGGGCAGUAAGUUAAUACCUUGCUGUUUUGACGUUACCAACAGAAUAAGCACCGGCUAACUUCGUGCCAGCAGCCGCGGUAAUACGAAGGGAGCAAGCGUUAAUCGGAAUUACUGGGCGUAAAGCGCGCGGAGGUGGUUUUGUAAGUUGGAGGUGAAAUCCCCGGGCUCAACCUGGGAACUGCCUCCAAAACUGCAUGACUAGAGUACGGUAGAGGGUAGUGGAAUUUCCUGUGUAGCGGUGAAAUGCGUAGAUAUAGGAAGGAACACCAGUGGCGAAGGCGACUACCUGGACUGAUACUGACACUGAGGUGCGAAAGCGUGGGGAGCAAACAGGAUUAGAAACCCUAGUAGUCC